rnacentral:tRNA from 1 species
AAUAAGAUGCCUGACAAUAAGGGCUAUUUUGAUAGAAUAGAAUAUGUAUUUAAUACUCUUAUUA